GCCAAGAUGGUAUAGUGGUUUGAGUGUCGGACUAUGAUUCUGGAGGCCAAGUUUCGAUUCCCAGCUUGUCC